UACGUAGGGUGCGAGCGUUAAUCGGAAUUACUGGGCGUAAAGCGUGCGCAGGCGGUUUUUUAAGCCAGAUGUGAAAUCCCCGGGCUUAACCUGGGAAUUGCAUUUGGAACUGGAAGACUAGAGUGCGGCAGAGGGGGGUGGAAUUCCUGGUGUAGCAGUGAAAUGCGUAGAGAUCAGGAGGAACACCGAUGGCGAAGGCAGCCCCCUGGGCCGACACUGACGCUCAUGCACGAAAGCGUGGGGAGCAAACAGG
rnacentral:rRNA from 1 species